ACUUGAACAGCUAUUCACCUGCCUUAUGUUUACAAAUUCCUACCUAUUGGUACAUUCAUUACUACAAAUUAUAAAGACGUACGCCGCAAUGGGUACAUAAACCUUCCUCCAUGCGUCGUAUUCCUCACUCUUCAUCUCCGAACGCGAAUAAAUUCAAAAAUAUUUACAGAAAGCAAAAUAUGGGCAAAUGUUAGAAUGAAUCGUAUUUUCGACAUUUACUACAAAAGCGAAAACCCCAUUGAACAAUCAGGAAAACUUGGAGAACAUAGUAGAAUCACCGCCUUUUGUUGAUAAAAUGGGUAACAGUGACAGUGAAGAAGCUGAAGACGAUGAAGAAGAAAACGAAAAAG